GACGUAGGGGCCAGCGUUGUUCGGAAUUAUCUGGGUGGUAAAGGGUUCGUAGGCGGUGUGGCAAGUCGGGAGUGAAAUCGUCAUGGGCGUCAACCCAGACGACUGCUUCCGAAACUGGCUGUGCUUUGGAGUGUGAGAGAGGCGGCGUGGAAUUGUCAGGUGUAGCGGUGAAAUGCGUAGAUAUCUGCAGGAACACCCCGUGGCGAAAGCGGCGCGCUGGACCACUACUGACGCUGAGGAACGAAAGCGUAGGGGAGCAAACAGG
rnacentral:rRNA from 1 species